ACAACGUGCCCUAUAGUGGAGCAUAAUCUCGGGAAACUGAGGAUAAUUCUCCAUAGACCAUGAGAUCUGGAACGACUUAUGGUUCAAAGUUCCGGCGCUUUAGGAUCGGUCUGCGGCCUAUCAGGUAGUAGUGGGUGCUACUUUCCCCCUAGCCAAUUACGGGUAUGGGCCUUGAGAGAGGGAGCCCAGAGUUGGAUUCUGAGACACCCCCCCCCGCCCCCCACGGGGCGCAGCAGUCUCGUAAUCUUCACAAUGGGCGAAAGCCCGAUGAGGGAAUUCCUAGUGCUAGCACAUUUGUGUUAGCUUUUCCUUAGCGUAGAUAACUAGGGGAAUAAGGGCUGGGUAAGACGGGUGUCAGCCGCCGCGGUAAUACCCGCAGCCCGAGUGGUGGUCGAUUUUAUUGAGUCUAAAACGUUCGUAGCCGGUCUGAUAAAUCCUUGGGUAAAUCGGGAAGCUUACUUUCCGAUUCCGAGAGACUGUCAGCUUGGAUCGGAGAGUAUGAGUACUCAGGUAGGGUAAUCCUGUAAUCCUGAGACACGUUGCGAGGCGUCUUACUAAACGAUCG
rnacentral:rRNA from 1 species